rnacentral:rRNA from 1 species
CUAGCCGCGGGAAUACAGAGGGUGCGAGCGUUAAUCGGAUUUACUGGGCGUAAAGCGUGCGUAGGCGGCUUCUUAAGUCGGAUGUGAAAUCCCUGAGCUUAACUUAGGAAUUGCAUUCGAUACUGGGAAGCUAGAGUAUGGGAGAGGAUGGUAGAAUUCCAGGUGUAGCGGUGAAAUGCGUAGAGAUCUGGAGGAAUACCGAUGGCGAAGGCAGCCAUCUGGCCUAAUACUGACGCUGAGGUACGAAAGCAUGGGGAGCAAACAGGAUUAGAUACCCCGGUAGUCCCUGUCUCUUAUACAC